rnacentral:rRNA from 1 species
GCUGGCGGCGUGCCUACACAUGCAAGUCGAACAAGAAAGUGGAGCAAUCCAUGAGUACAGUGGCGUACGGGUGAGUAACACGUGACUAACCUACCCUCGAGUGGGGAAUAACUUCGGGAAACCGAGGCUAAUACCGCAUAACAUCUACGGAUCAAAUGCGCAAGCAGCUUGAGGAGGGGGUCGCGGCUGAUUAGCUAGUUGGCGGGGUAACGGCCCACCAAGGCAAUGAUCAGUAGCCGGCCUGAGAGGGCGCACGGCCACACUGGAACUGAAACACGGUCCAGACUCCUACGGGAGGCAGCAGUGGGGAAUUUUGCGCAAUGGGGGAAACCCUGACGCAGCAACGCCGCGUGGAGGAUGAAGCCCCUUGGGGUGUAAACUCCUUUCGAUCGGGACGAUUAUGACGGUACCGGAUGAAGAAGCACCGGCUAACUCUGUGCCAGCAGCCGCGGUAAUACAGAGGGUGCAAGCGUUGUUCGGAAUUAUUGGGCGUAAAGGGUGCGUAGGCGGUGCGGUAAGUCUUCUGUGAAACCUCCGGGCUUAACUCG